CAGUAGCCGCGGUAAUACGUAGGUGGCGAGCGUUGUCCGGAAUUAUUGGGCGUAAAGGGAGCGCAGGCGGACAUAUAAGUCCAUCUUAAAAGUGCGGGGCUCAACCCCGUGAGGGGAUGGAAACUGUAUGCCUUGAGUGCAGGAGAGGAAAGCGGAAUUCCCAGUGUAGCGGUGAAAUGCGUAGAUAUUGGGAGGAACACCAGUGGCGAAGGCGGCUUUCUGGACUGCAACUGACGCUGAGGCUCGAAAGCCAGGGGAGCGAACGGGAUUAGAUACCCGCGUAGUCCCUGUCUCUUAUACA
rnacentral:rRNA from 1 species